CAGGAAGAUUGCACCAGCUGGGUGAGUGGGCAGAACAGCGGCAGAUGAAUCUUCAAGGACAAGACAGCAGAUGCCUUUAGGACAAACAAUCCCAAGUCAGAAAAAAAUGGUCUCUGAAGGGUUUUGGAAGGUCCAUGCUUGCACAAGAAAUAAGACUCUUUACAGUUCUGUGUGAUUGGAAGUUUUCGCACACUUGAGCUAAGACAUGGGAAGGUAAAUUAAAAAGAAAUCAGCACUGAAGGAGAGAAUGAGGAAGUCAUAGAGUGCACACACCCAGUCUGGGCCAAGGGUGUGCACUGAAGAUAAGCCAGUCCUACCUGCCUGUCCUGAUGUACCCAGACCUGGAUCCAUGGGGUCUCUCUACAUAACGGAGGCUGUCCUGAGACUCUAAAUAUAGAUGAGGCUGGUCUUGAACUCAUGGAAAUCCACUUGCCUUUGCAUCCUGAGUGCUGGGAUUAAAGGUGGCUGAUUGACCGUCUGUCAGUUUGACCACAACUGGAGGGUAUGUUGAUGGUGAUCCACACUGAAGGGUAUGGCAAUUGUGACUGGUCACCUUGUCUACUGUCCAAAGGGUAGGAAGAGGAGCAUUUUGCAGACUGGACCUGGUAUAUUGAGCCCUACUUUACAGACUCAGGCUUCACAGAAAGUUUCUAGUCAACCAUCUUCUCAUAAUUUGUUAUUUUUAAGUCUCUGAAGGAUUGAAAUAAAACUACAGACUUCACUCAGGUGCUCCAUUGAGACUCUAUGUCAACAUUUUACCACAUUUUCUGCCUCCCUCCUCUCACUGUCUAUACAAACACACAGCACACAGCACAUAGUCCUCUAGACCAGUUACUAUAGUGAUUGAUGACUUUUUUUAUUUGAAUUAGAAACAGGAUUGUUUUACAUAUCAAUCCCAGUUCCCACUCCCUCCCCACUUCCCCUACCACCCACCCCCAACUAAAACCCUACCUAUCACAUAUCCUUUCUGCUCCCCAGGGAGGGUGAGGUCUUCCAUAGGGAGUCAUCAGAGUCUAUCGUAUCCUUUGGGAUAAGAUGGGGCCUAGGCCCACCCCCAUGUGUCUUGGCUCAGGGAAUAUCCCUGUAUGUGGAUUGGGCUCCCAAAGUCCACACCUAUGCUAGGGAUAAGUACUGAUCUACUACAGGAGGUCCCGUAGAUUUCCGAGAUCUCCUCACUGAAACCUAUGUUCCUAGGGUCUGGAUCAGUCCCAUGCUGGUAUCCCAGCUAUCAGUCUGGGGACCAAGAGCUCCCCGGUUGUUCAGGUCAGCUGUUUCUGUGGGUUUCACCAGCCUGGUCUGGACCCCUUUGCCCAUCACUCAUUCUUCUCUGCAACUGGAUUCCAGUUCAGUUCAGUGAUUAGUUGUGGGUGUCUGCUUCUACUUCCACCAGCUGCUGGAUGAAGGCUAUAGGAUUGGUGACUUUCUAAUAGUGAAUUUCUCUCUAUCAUUUCUUCCCUGCUUGUCAACUGGCUUUAUUUGCAACCAAGACUUUUGGUUGCAUGAUGAACAUUUGAAUUUGCUCCAUGAGUACACAAUGCCUAAUUAGAAGAAGCAUGCAGAGCCCAGUGGGGUUUACCUUCAUAAAAAAUAAUAAAUUCUGAGAUAACUAUAGAUCUCCUUUCAAUAUGAAGGUGUCUCUGUAUAGUUGCUAUUGUUGUUAGCAUAAUUCUAUCCAGUCCAUAGAUGUUUUGAGCUAUGUUGUUACUAAGGAUACAAAUACUAAAAGCAAGAACUCUAUGAUGCAUGUUUGAGAAGGGAGAAGCAUUUGAAGCCUCAAAAAGUUUAUUUCAAACUUAUGUACAUUUUCAGAUGCUCCCAGGAAGAAGAUUCAGAAUCAGCCUCCAAGUGAGGUGUGGAUGUUCUCCAGCAACUGACGAGGACCCAGUAUUACCGAGAGUCCACGUAUAGUUUUGUUAGUUACAGAAUAUUAACUAGGAUGUUUCCUCCGAGGGUUUUAACUGCAUGGUUUUUGCACAGGUUGGGACUUGAACUGAUUUUCUGAGGAAGCUGUUCAUCAAAGGCGUCUCCAUGAGCUAACCUUGAGUUUGAUUAUUCUCUGCAAUAAUCAAUAAGAGAACAGGACAGAAAAGUUUUUUUUGUUGUUGCUGUUGUUGUUGUUGUUACAAUUUCAGCUUACUAUACUAACUCACAGCCUGUUGUACCACCAGGGUGACCCUUCUGGAGAUUUCAGUACUUAGGUGACCACUGAUCAAACUUUAUACACUUGGAUUGCUUAACAGUGUAGCAACAUGUCCAUUCAAAAUGUUUUUAUUCAUCCAUCCAACUUGAUUGACAUUCAAACCAGCUAGUGACCCGGAGCUGGGAACACUGGCAUGGGAUGCCAGCCUUCCCACCAUCCAGCUCCCAUUGGUUUCCUCAAAUUCCAGUCCUUCCCCAAAGGAACAGAUGGAGCGAGGGUGAGAAUGUAGGAAGUGAUUUUUAAAAAGGUGGGGGAGGGGUGAGCUGAAAAGGGAUGCUAGCUAAGAGAGAACAAAGAGUCCCCAAAAACAUAAUGAUUAACAAACGUACCAUUGGGACCUAGAAUGAGAAGACAGGCCAGGAGUAGGGCAGGGCUGCCAGGGCCAGUUACUCAGAGCACUAUACAGCAAACAGACACCAGAUGAGCAGCCAGGAGUGCAAACACCAGAUCCAAGUUUACUUGUCUUCCUCAUGCCCUGGUGGAGAGACUUUGUCUAUCCCUACAAUCAGGCUUCCUUUACCAAUUCGAAGAAGCAUACAGCACAGUGGGUCUGAGUUUGAUCCCUGGUACCCACAUGAUAGGAGAGAACCAAGUCCUGCAAAUUGUCCUCUGACCCCCCCUCUCUCUCUCUCUCACACACACACACAUUCACAUACUCACACACACACUCACACACAUACAUACUCACACACACACUCUCUCACACACACACACUCUCUCACACACACACACAC
ensembl:lncRNA